rnacentral:rRNA from 1 species
UGCAAGUCGAACGGAAAGGCCCUGCUUUUGUGGGGUGCUCGAGUGGCGAACGGGUGAGUAACACGUGAGUAACCUGCCCUUGACUUUGGGAUAACUUCAGGAAACUGGGGCCAAUACCGGAUAGGAGCUCCUGCUGCAUGGUGGGGGUUGGAAAGUUUCGGCGGUUGGGGAUGGACUCGCGGCUUAUCAGCUUGUUGGUGGGGUAGUGGCUUACCAAGGCUUUGACGGGUAGCCGGCCUGAGAGGGUGACCGGCCACAUUGGGACUGAGAUACGGCCCAGACUCCUACGGGAGGCAGCAGUGGGGAAUAUUGCACAAUGGGCGGAAGCCUGAUGCAGCAACGCCGCGUGCGGGAUGACGGCCUUCGGGUUGUAAACCGCUUUCGCCUGUGACGAAGCGUGAGUGACGGUAAUGGGUAAAGAAGCACCGGCUAACUACGUGCCAGCAGCCGCGGUGAUACGUAGGGUGCGAGCGUUGUCCGGAUUUAUUGGGCGUAAAGGGCUCGUAGGUGGUUGAUCGCGUCGGAAGUGUAAUCUUGGGGCUUAACCCUGAGCGUGCUUUCGAUACGGGUUGACUUGAGGAAGGUAGGGGAGAAUGGAAUUCCUGGUGGAGCGGUGGAAUGCGCAGAUAUCAGGAGGAACACCAGUGGCGAAGGCGGUUCUCUGGGCCUUUCCUGACGCUGAGGAGCGAAAGCGUGGGGAGCGAACAGGCUUAGAUACCCUGGUAGUCCACGCUGUAAACGGUGGGUACUAGGUGUGGGGUCCAUUCCACGGGUUCCGUGCCGUAGCUAACGCUUUAAGUACCCCGCCUGGGGAGUACGGCCGCAAGGCUAAGACUCAAAGGAAUUGACGGGGCCCCGCACAAGCGGCGGAGCAUGCGGAUUAAUUCGAUGCA